rnacentral:rRNA from 1 species
GACGGAGGAGGCAAGCACUAUCCGGAAUUAUUGGGCGUAAAGGGUACGUAGGCGGCUGGUCAAGUCUGGGGUUAAAGGCCACAGCUCAACUGUGGGAAGGCCCUGGAAACUGACCGGCUAGAGUGAGGUAAGGGUUGCGGGAAUUCCCGGUGUAGCGGUGAAAUGCGUAGAGAUCGGGAAGAACACCUGAGGCGGAAGCGCGCAACUGGGCCUCAACUGACGCUGAGGUAAGAAAGCUAGGGGAGCGAAUGGG